AGCUAACUCUCUCUUUCUGUCUCUUUACAUUUGCUCUCUCUCUCUCUCUCUCUCGUUAUACAUCUAUAUACACCAAAGUUUCAAUCCAUAUUUUGGAAGCCUUAGGGUGAGAUUUGAGAGAAGCCCAAGGAGACAAAGUUGUUCUACUCGAUGAGGGAUACGUUUUGACACCGGUUUUGCAUGCAUUUGGUAAGAUUCAAGUUCGGGAUCUAAAAGCUCCGAGUUACUUGUGCGCUUUUAUUUGAAGUCAAGGGCUAUGAUUAAUUCAUUGCUUGGAUAGCUUUUGUGUGGCUGUAAUAAGCUGGUGCUUUCUCUCUUUAACGGCUUCAUAGUUCAGAGAUAUAUAUACAGAUCAGGUGUGCAUCUGUUAGAGUGAGCUCUCAAAAACUGAUUAUAGACUAUUUUCAAAGAGCUUGAAGACGAACAUCAAAAGAGUGAGCCUGAUUGUAGUCUAAAUCGGAGCAACGGUGAAGACCCAUUUUGACCGAAGCUCUAUUAAAGAACCCAUCACCGGAGAGCCACAGUGACAACACCGAAGAGCUACAGCGUUCACACCAGCGAGCCAAAAUCUCUAUCAGCGUGAAGACCUCAUUCUGGUGACAUUCAAAACCGUUUCCAUUAUUCCGGUGAUAGACACACUCAGUCCAGUGAUACCAGAUAACAGCGUACCAGUUCGGCAAAUCUCUAAGUUUGUAGUCAAGUUCCAGUGAACAAAUCACAAGCUCCAACCACUAGUGAGUUUCAGUCGUACCUAGCAAGUGGCAUAAUCUAAAUUGUUCUGGCGAACUUCACAAAGUUCCUAUAUCCGGUCCGGUGUAGUUUACUCUACAGAAGCAGUUUCAAGCAAGUUUCAGUCCAUCUCCGUUCAAACGAGCACCAUCUUCGGUCAAAGCUUUGAAGCUUUGAAAUUGAUAAACUUAGUAGGUUCAAUAGUGAGCAACAGUGAGUUUGGGAGAAAAUACAAGGGUGUUUUUCUUAACAAAUCAAAAGGAUUAUUUACUGGACUAAUUUACAGAUGAUCAAAUCCAGAAGUGGUGUGCAUUGCUUAUCA